rnacentral:misc_RNA from 2 species
AACGCAUCUUGCGCUCCUUGGUAUUCCGAGGAGCAUGCCUGUUUGAGUGUCAUAAUGUUCUCAACCACAUUGAUUUGCUUCUGAUGUGGAUUGGACAUGGGAAUUUUUGCAGGCCUUUCAAAGAGGUCUGCUUUCCUGAAAUAGAUUAGUGGUAUCUGAGCAGAGACUUACUACGGGUGUGAUAAACCAUCUAUGCCUAUUUGUAGAAUGCUGCGACAGGACUGCUUCUAAAAUCUCAUUUGUUGACAAAUUUGACCUCAAAUCAGGUAGGACUACCCGCUGAACUUAA